rnacentral:tRNA from 1 species
GGAAUCAUAGCUCAGCUGGGAGAGCACCUGCUUGACGUGCAGGGGGUCAUGGGUUCGAGUCCCUUUGAUUCCA